CUAUGGGGAGACGUGAUGGUGAGCGAUUCUUGCAUCCGAAAAAUCGCUAUUGCUCUAAAACUGACAGAUGACUGAUACAUGUCGUAACCGCAUAGCGGCUCUGAUUCUCGAUGACCUAAUGAACUAACCAACAUGUUGUUAUCAGGACGGAAGUGCCGGGAAAAGACCGUGUGGCAAAACCAAAAUUACCCCAGGAUAGAUAUUGUCACAGCAAUUCACAACUACAUGCAGAAAAUUUGGGACGAGGCCGUCAUAACAGAGAAACAAAUCAACAGUGCAAUUUGUGCCAAAUUAAUAGGCUGCCAUAAUCUAAAGAAAAAGA